rnacentral:lncRNA from 1 species
GGAGAGGAUGAGAGGAUGGUAUUGGUUGGGAAGAGAGCAGGCAUCGUGCUGAAAAGGAAGAGGAAGGGGAGGGAAGCAUUGUCUCAGCAGGAGAAUGUUAUUCUCCAGCCCUUACCGCUCCACAGCAGCCAAUGAACCUCCAGGGCCAAAGGAUAAAUGCACCAUCGCUGGAGUAUUGCAGCAUUUAGAAGCCUCACUCACUGACUCACAGCUGUCUGACCCCUCCACCACAACCACUUUGAAUUUGUCUCGGCACCCAGCCACCUUCUCUGCUGAGGUGUAGCUGGAUAAUCCUUGUGCUUUUACAGUGCCUGCCUGUGUGCAGCACUGAGGUGAGACCACACUUUCUUCUCGCUUAUUUUGGUACGGGGGGAGCACUGGUCUUGUGAUGCAUUUGCCAGACCUUCAUUCUAUGAAUGCAGCAAAACAGCACUGAAAUAAACCA